CAUGCCCCUUAUACGCUGGGCUACACACGUGCUACAAUGGGUAGAACAGAGAGUUGCAAAGCCGUGAGGUGGAGCUAAUCUCAGAAAACUAUUCUUAGUUCGGAUUGUACUCUGCAACUCGAGUACAUGAAGUUGGAAUCGCUAGUAAUCGCGAAUCAGCAAUGUCGCGGUGAAUACGUUCUCGGGUCUUGUACACACCGCCCGUCACACCACGAGAGUUGGUUGCACCUGAAGUAGCAGGCCUAACCGUAAGGAGGGAUGCUCCGAGGGUGUGAUUAGCGAUUGGGGUGAAGUCGUAACAAGGUAUCCGUACGGGAACGUGCGGAUGGAUCACCUCCUUUCUAAGGAGAUAAAGUCUUUCUCUAUUCUAUUGGUAAUGUUCUUUACAUUACUUCUGAACAUUGGAAACUAUAUAGUAGAACAAACAAGAAAAAAAUUAACUCUAACAAUUUCUUAGAGUUAGCUGUCAAAAAAUAGAUUAAAAUAAUUAAGGGCACACAAAGGAUGCCUAGGUAGUAAGAGCCGAUGAAGGACGUGGUAAGCUGCGAUAAGC
rnacentral:sRNA from 1 species